rnacentral:rRNA from 1 species
UUUCGCAAUGCCCGAAAGGGUGACGAAGCGACGCCGCGUGUGGGAAGAAGGCCUUCGGGUUGUAAACCACUGUCGGGAGUUAGGAAAUGCAGGUGCGUAAAUAGCGCACUUGCUUGACUAAGGCUCCAGAGGAAGCCACGGCUAACUCUGUGCCAGCAGCCGCGGUAAUACAGAGGCGGCAAGCGUUGUUCGGAAUUAUUGGGCGUAAAGAGCACGUAGGCGGCCUUGCAAGUCAGUUGUGAAAGCCUUCCGCUUAACGGAAGAACGGCAUCUGAUACUACAGGGCUUGAGUACGGGAGGGGAGAGUGGAACUUCUGGUGGAGCGGUGAAAUGCGUAGAUAUCAGAAGGAACGCCGGCGGCGAAAGCGACUCUCUGGUCCGAAACUGACGCUGAGUGUGCGAAAGCUAGGGGAGCAAACGGGAUUAGAUACCCCGGUAGUCCUAGCCGUAAACGAUGGGCACUAAGUAGAGGGGUUUU